UACAGAGGGUGCGAGCGUUGUUCGGAAUUAUUGGGCGUAAAGGGCGCGUAGGCGGUGCGGUAAGUCACCUGUGAAAUCUCCUGGCUCAACUGGGAGCUUGCAGGCGAAACUGCCGUGCUGGAGUGUGGGAGAGGUGCGUGGAAUUCCUGGUGUAGCGGUGAAAUGCGUAGAUAUCAGGAGGAACACCUGUGGCGAAAGCGACGUGCUGGACCUCUUCUGACGCUGAGGCGCGAAAGCCAGGGGAGCGAACGGG
rnacentral:rRNA from 1 species